GGCCGGUGGUUGUAAACAGUUUUAUUGAUGGGGGGCAGGUGGGGGAGGCAAACUCCAGAGAGGGUCCAGGACUCAGCUGGCCACUCAGCUGGCAUGCAUGGUCAGCUGGAGGUCAAGGGGGAGGUCACAGAGGACGGGUGGCAUGGGACCCUCUGACCACCCUGGGGCUGUAUUUACAGGGGGGCCCCCCCGCCUUAGCCGUCCCCCAGACCGCCCGAGCCCUUAGACAGCUGCCAAUGUGACAUCUGGACAGGCCUCCCGAGCCCCCGCCUAAAACCCCUGCCGCACCUCCCCUCGAACUCCUAACCGGCACAUCGGAGGCCCCCGGCCCUCUGGAAGCCCCGGCGUCGGCUCAGCCAACGCCCAGGCCGCUGGGACCUCCGCGCUCACACACAGACACGCACACUGCGCGUGGCCGUCGCCACACACACGCAGCAGCAGCCUGCAGGCACACACGCACGCCUCCCUCCCCUGCCUGGCCCCCUGCACACGGACACGGCAUGCACACACACACACACACCCACACACGCCAGGGGCCGGGUGGAGGAGGGCGCCUUUGGGUGGUUGGGUUGCGGGGGGAGCUUGGGUCUGCAGGUGCGCUCCUCGCCCCAUUCCCACCACCUCCAAGCGCCACCCCCCGCCCCUCGGCCGCCACCCCGAGAACGGAGUUGUGCAAUUGGUUUAGAAAACUGCAAAAGAAACGCAAAUUGGAAAACAAACCAAAAUCCACUCGCAGAAGGUCAACCUCAAAUCCGUAGCACAUUCCGCCCGCCCCGUCUGCCCGCCGCAGACCGCCUCAGUGUCCUGCGGCUCUGGGGGCGCGUCGGGGUGGGGGGGAGGCCGAGCUCCUUGUGCUUCCCUGCGGCGGAGGGGAGCCCCCCCCCCGCGCGGCCGGGCUGGGGGUCUGAGCACCCACUUGGGAGCUGGCCCCGGGCUCUCGCUCCUGGUUCCCGUGGCUGGCACCGCCGAGGCGCGGGGCCGCGGCCUAGGGCACGGGGGGCGCAGUCCUGUCGGGGCCUCCGUAGGAGAGCAGGUGGGCCAAGUCCGUG
rnacentral:lncRNA from 1 species